UUUGCCUUUUUAAUUGCACAGAAACAAAUUAGUCAACAAUGGACAGGUUUUAAAAAUACAAUGGUUUCACGGAAAAUUCAAAGUAAUUUAGUAAUAAUGCGACAAAAUUGUACAAUAAAAAGUUUAAGAUAAAUAUGAAAUACCAAACAUGCAUUCUACUUAGACGAUUUUUGAGCAAAAGUUUUGAAGUUCCAGCUGUUCGUAAACCAAUCAAUAAAUUCACACCCGUAUGCUCAAUAUAUCCGAAGAAUGCAUAUGCGAGCGCUAUUCAAUUACCAAAAUCAGCAACACUACUGGAGAAUGAUGAAAAUAGUACCGUGGUACUCUUGGGAACAGUGCAUUUUAGCAAACAAUCAGUUGAAGAUGUAUCCGAGAUAGUGAAAGUCUUAAAUCCAAACGCUAUUUUGAUUGAACUAUGUCGGCAAAGAGUAUCACUUCUGGAAUUGGACGAUAAAAAGUUUCUCGAAGAUGCUAAAAACUUUGAUGCUCAAAAGUUAAAAGAGGCAGUAAAAGGCCAAAACUUCGUCUCUGGAAUGUUACACGCAAUGCUAUUAAAAACCUAUGCUGAUAUAGCUAAAGAGUUGGGAGUCGCACCUGGAGGGGAGUUUCGAAGAGCAUAUCAUGAGAUGAAGAAAAUACCAGGAUGUAAGUUAUUUCUUGGCGACCGACCAAUUCAAAUAACGAUUGCUCGAGCUUUUCAGUCGUUGAGCGUGUAUGAAUUGGGUCAAGUCUUGUAUCAUCUUACAACGACAAAUCCAAAGCCUUUAGACAAGGAACAAUUAGAAAGGUACAAAGAUAGGGACUUUGUUCAAGCGCAGUUUGAAGAAAUAACUCGAGAUGUGCCAGCUUUCAAGAAAAUUUUCCAUGUAUUUGUCGACGAACGCGACAAAUGUCUUGCGUAUUCACUUCAAGAAUGUGUUCGUUCUGUUAAAAGUCCUCGCGUCCUCGCUGUGGUCGGCAUGGGACACGUAGAUGGCAUUGUAAAAUAUUAUGGAAAAAUGAAGCAAGAGGAUAUUGUGCCACUACUGUUUGAUUAAAUUUUAGUACAAACAACAAUUAAUCGGUUAAUGAAUAUAAAAUAUACUUAUAAAAGUUCAUGAAGUCCUCUUUUUUCAGCAUACCCCCACGGCCAAUGUAUAAGGUGAUAUUACCAAAAGUAGUGAAAAUGGGUUUCUAUUUUAUUCUUUUUUCUUUUUUUUAUAGGUUAUUGUUUGGAUAAAUUAUAUUUAUUAACUAAAUUAGUACUAAGUAAAGAGAGAUGGAAUAAAUAUUUAUGUACACAUGA